CACACAAAGGGACAGCACCUAACGCAUUGAGCAGGUGAUCAUAAUACUUUGACAUCAGUCCUUGCAGGAGUCAAAAAGAGAAGUGAUGUGUUAGUAUGAUAUGUAAAUGAUAACACAAGAGAAAGAGAGAGGGAGAGAGCAACAGCAUAUGUGAGUAUUGGAAUGAUUAUCAUUUCUGUAAUGUAAAUGAUAACAGGAAUGAACAGAUUUUUCACCCUUUCUUUUAACAAGUUGUAAUUUGUCAUUUUACUGAGAAAUAAGGUAUAGCAAAGUCCUUUCUUUCCCCUGAAUAUAUGUUAAAUAAAUGUCUCCUUAAAAGAAACCUCACCAGACAUCAAUGUUUACAUGUUUUUCUUUGUUUUACAACACGUUUUUAAAUGCAUCCAUUCUUAGGUUUAGAUUAAGUCGAUUUCCUGUGUAUGUUCCUGUGUAUGCUGUUACCAUAUACACAGUUCCUGUGUACUGUUACCAUUCAUACCAACCUUUUGUUUGUGGUUAAGCAAGAACUAUUGUUUGAGUUGUUCUAAAUACAUAUAAAUACAGUUCUGCUCUUAAGUUUAUACUCCCCGGGAGAAUUUUUUAAAUAUUACACAUUUUGGAAGGAAAUAUGACUGAUCAAAAUUCCAGUGUAUUGAGACCUAACCAAUGUCAAGGAAAUCAACUAAGAUUACAGGCAUAACUGCCAGAAAAAUAGUUUGGGAUGCCAAAACAAAAACAUCCCUAUUGUGCCAUAUUGAGUGUGUAUGAGGUGGAUCUCUAAUGUUCUGGGGGUAUCAUUGCAUAUUGGAGGACAUUGGAAUUCAACAGCUGAUGUUCCAAUAUAUGGCAGUUAUUUAACGCAAGAAGACAAGCCAACCCUUCAGUGGCUAUAAGAGAAUAUGUUAGGUUGAAUCUCUCAACCUCAAAAUCAUUGAGGCACAAGAGAGAUCUCCAAAGUGUAUUGCAUGCAGGAAUUCAUAGGGCCUGGAGGCCUUUGAAGAAUGGGCAGAAUUACACCUGUGAGGAAAUCCACGGUUAUUACAGCAUAGCACAAACUAUCACUGAUAGUCUAUCUAUUUUUAGUUCUAUUUUUCCUAGUUAAAUUUUAUUUUUAUUUUUUUAUUUAAUUUUUAAAUCGUAUUUCUUUUAUUCAUAUUUAUUACUUAUUAUAAGCUUUAAUUCUCGUUUUAAGGUCACUGGCGGUUGUGUAAGCAUUUCACUACAUUUCGUACUGUGUAUGACUGUGUAUGUGACAAAUAAAAUUUGAAUUUGAAUUUGAUGCACAAGACUGAAUACACAAUAUUGAAACUAUGCAUACUUUUGGAUAAGGACAAUCUCUUUAUUAUUAUUAUUAUUAUUUUGGUAUUAUGUAUGUUUUGUUUAAUGACUAUGUUAUUUUGUGAUGUCUUAUAGUGACUUUGAAUCCUGUUAAAAUAAAACAUUUUUGUUUUGACAAUUUUUUUUAUCACAAAUUCUGCUAAAGAAUAUUAUACGUUAUGACCAGAACUGUAUAUUGAAAUCCUUAUUAUUAACCAGAUUUAAAGACUCAUCUGCACAAAUAAAGGCAAAGUUUGUAAUUAUAUAUUAUUUACCAAACUUUCCAAGUUUGCAACUAGUUUACAUUGUACUGUCUGACUACUUUUCUCUUCAUCGUGCAAAAAAAAAAAAAUUAAAUGCUUAGCUUUUUUUUUUUCUUUUUUUGAACGCUUAUAUUUUUAACCCUGAUGUUUGCUGUCCAGUAAUCAUCUCUUUUUAUUUCAAAAGAUGGGUGGUAAGGUUUUAGAGCUGAUCUUUGUUUAAAAAUUUUAUAAUGUAAUUAAGUUUCAUGCUUACCAAUAAAAAAAUUAAAAAAAAACUCAGUUAAACAAUCAGUCCUGUGCUAGAAAGCAUCUCUCGUGGUUUCUCUUGGUUAACUAAAUGUUACGCCUCUAUAUUGGUAGAUGUUACAGUACUCUGCAUGCUUGUAAAAAAAGAAGCUGAAGUAGCUUUGUGACCUUGCUCUCAGCAGAAAAUGCUGUUUGUAAUCUUUUGUUGUUUAAGAGGAAGUGACCUGGUGGGUGGUGGAAACAUAGUUAAAACAGAGCAGCAAUGCCGACCACAUGUUCCACUGCUUUGCUCUUAAUCCUUAUAACUAUCUCUACAUUUCCAUUUCUACCUAAAGGCAUGGUGCGAGUGAGAUAUUCAAGAGAUCCAAUACGGAGAAUGGAGAGACAGUCAUUGACUCUCAAUUGCACAGCAGAAUAUGAAGAAGAGCCUUGUGGAAACGUCUGGGUCUCAUGGUGUCUAACUGUUCCAGGAAAACAAUCUGACUCUCAAUGACUCUGGCUUUUAUCAAUGUGAAGCUAAAUGUCAGCGUUCCCAAACCUCAGCUAUGGGACAUGUCAUCAAUGUCACUGUGACAGGU